rnacentral:misc_RNA from 1 species
AAAUGAUUCUACUUCUAAGCUCUUCUUCUUGAUGCUUGUAUAUAAAUACAUAUAUAUGUACUUCUCUCUAGAAACAAGCUUCAGUGUCAGAGCUCACUUAUAGCAAAAUAAAUCAAGAAAAGGGGGAAAACUUCUGGUCUGACCUUGUGUGUCUUCUCUGUGAUUGAUCAAAAUCUUCCCUUCUACUUCCACAACUGUCAAUUGAUCUAAGAAAAUGUGUCUCUCAAAUCUUCCAGCCUCAUCUGAAGGAGUAAUCUGUGUGGUUGUGAUGAACACUGCCUUAUCAAUCUCCAUUUUCAAAGGGAUAGUCCGGUCGGUCCUUCACAUUGUUGACAACCGCUUAGCACCCUUCUCCUCAUCAUCAUCUUCAAUCCUCUUUCCAGAUUACAGUGACACCGAAUCAUUUGAAUUUCCUUUACAUUCAUCAGACGAUUGCGUUAGGGAGCUCCGAAGCAGGAGGCCUGCAAAACGAUUUGAUGCAGUGUCUAGCUGUAAACAGCCUCAACAUGACUGCCCAGUUUGCUUGAUUCAAUUCAAGCCAGACUCGGAGAUAAAUUGCUUAUCCUGUGGCCAUGUUUUUCAUAAGGCGUGCUUGGAGAAGUGGUUGGAUUAUCGGAAAGUUACUUGUCCGCUUUACAGGUCUCCUGUGAUGCCUGAAGAAGAGGAUACAUCUUGCUCUUGGUAAGCAUAUACCAGAAGUUUGCUCGUCUCAGGAAAUGUUCACGUGCAGCGUGUUGUGUCCACUUGGUGUUUUGCAAGAGAUUAAGUUCAUUAUGGGUCCUUAAGAGACCACAAAAUUUUAUUAUAUAUUGUGCAAGGUUUAUAAUGUUCUUGCAUCUAUCCAACUUUGGUUUCCAACCGUAUCCCUUUUAAUAAUCAUUUGCAGAUUCCGUCUCUC